rnacentral:misc_RNA from 1 species
CUGAGUUACCGCUCAUCAACCCUUUGUGAACAUACCUUAACUGUUGCUUCGGCGGGUAGGCGUCCCCUAAAAAGGACGUCUCCCGGCCCUCUCCCGUCCACGGGUGGGGCGCCCGCCGGAGGAUAACCAAACUCUGAUUUAACGACGUUUCUUCUGAGUGACACAAGCAAAUAAUCA